rnacentral:lncRNA from 1 species
GGUCUUCACCAUGAUAACUGUGGAGUAAGAAUUAUAAGCAGGUCACAGAUUAGGGACUUGAGAUUGACAGUUUGGCUUCCCUGUUCUGGGUGGCAAAGCCUGUGGAGUACUCACCUACCUGCUGCAUGAAGGCAGCAUGGAGGGACUGUGGUGGAUUAUCUGCAAAGAUGGCCAAAAUUCUCUCAUCCCUGCAGGCACAUACAAGAACUGAAGCUCAGCUAUUCACCCUACAGAAAGCCUGAAUUUUGUAAAAGUUCUGCUUAGAAUGAGGAAGAAAGAUGAAGAAUGAGGAGGAAGAAGGGAGGAACAAGAGAGAGAGGUAAAGACAACAAACAGAACAGACCUACAUUUGCAGCAUCUCCAAGUUUCUGCAACAGCAUUAUGUUGUUGUUAUGUUUUGUUUUAAUAAAAGCACAUACCAUUUU